UAAAAGCCGUAAAAAAACUCAACUGGAGCCACUUGUUCCUGUUCCUGAGAGGUGGUGGAAGACGCCGUUUAAGGAUUAAAUGUUCCAGCUCAUGUGCUGAAGACCCCAUCGCCACCUCUACCUGGGCCAGGCUGAUGAAAAAAUGACCGAUUGUAAAUCUGUCAAGUCGUCGUCUGCUGGUCACAGCUGGAGAAUCGGACUGAAGACUCCAGAGUCAGGUGGUCUGCUGAGAGUCAGGAUCUGG